GUCCCCGUGGCGCAAUGGACAGCGCACCUGGCUUCGAACCAGGGGGUUGUGAGUUCGAGUCUCACCGGGGACU
rnacentral:tRNA from 2 species